rnacentral:rRNA from 1 species
AUUGAACGCUGGCGGCAGGCCUAACACAUGCAAGUCGAGCGGCAGCGGGAAAGUAGCUUGCUACUUUUGCCGGCGAGCGGCGGAUGGGUGAGUAAUGCCUGGGGAUCUGCCCAGUCGAGGGGGAUAACAGUUGGAAACGACUGCUAAUACCGCAUACGCCCUACGGGGGAAAGGAGGGGACAUUCGGGCCUUUCGCGAUUGGAUGAACCCAGGUGGGAUUAGCUAGUUGGUGGGGUAAUGGCUCACCAAGGCGACGAUCCCUAGCUGGUCUGAGAGGAUGAUCAGCCACACUGGAACUGAGACACGGUCCAGACUCCUACGGGAGGCAGCAGUGGGGAAUAUUGCACAAUGGGGGAAACCCUGAUGCAGCCAUGCCGCGUGUGUGAAGAAGGCCUUCGGGUUGUAAAGCACUUUCAGCGAGGAGGAAAGGUUGUUGGCUAAUACCCAGCAACUGUGACGUUACUCGCAGAAGAAGCACCGGCUAACUCCGUGCCAGCAGCCGCAGUAA